rnacentral:rRNA from 1 species
AUGAACGCUGGCGGCGUGCCUAAUACACGCAAGUCGAGCGAACGGAUGAGAAGCUUGCUUUUCUGAUGUUAGCGGCGGACGGGUGAGUAACACGUGGAUAACCUACCUAUAAGACUGGGAUAACUUCGGGAAACCGGAGCUAAUACCGGAUAAUAUUUUGAACCGCAUGGUUCAAAAGUGAAAGACGGUCUUGCUGUCACUUAUAGAUGGAUCCGCGCUGCAUUAGCUAGUUGGUAAGGUAACGGCUUACCAAGGCAACGAUGCAUAGCCGACCUGAGAGGGUGAUCGGCCACACUGGAACUGAGACACGGUCCAGACUCCUACGGGAGGCAGCAGUAGGGAAUCUUCCGCAAUGGGCGAAAGCCUGACGGAGCAACGCCGCGUGAGUGAUGAAGGUCUUCGGAUCGUAAAACUCUGUUAUUAGGGAAGAACAUAUGUGUAAGUAACUGUGCACAUCUUGACGGUACCUAAUCAGAAAGCCACGGCUAACUACGUG